GAAUAUUAGUCAAUGCUCGAAAGAGUGAACUAGCUAACUGAAAUCAAUUAGAGUAAUUGAUAACAUAAGGGAAAAUAAUGAUAUUACCUUAUUAUUAGUGUCGUCCAAAUCUGGUGCCAGAAGACUCGGUAAGGCCAGAGGCACAAACGUUAAUCGUCUUAAUCAGGCGUAAAGGGUUUGUAGGCGGCUUUUACAAUUAUAUAUCAAAUUUUAAUAAAGAUAAAUAAGUUAAUAAUAAAAGCUAGAAUCAAAUAGAGGAUAUAAAUAAUGCUUAGAGUAGGUCUGAUAUCCUUAGAUACUAAGUAGAAUAUUAAAGGCGAAAGCUUUUUUCCAUUAAUGAUUGACGCUCAGAAACGAAGGUGAGGAUAGGAAAUAGGAUUAGAUACCCAGAAUACCCCUCUCUGUCAACGAUGAAUGGUAGUUAUUAGUAAAUAAAAUUAUUAAUAACAAUGUUAACACGAUAACCAUUCCGCCUUGUGAGUAUAACUGCAAAGUUGAAAACAAAAAAAUUAGUCGGUUUCGGAGCAAACGAAGUGAAGCAUGUUAUU
rnacentral:rRNA from 1 species